rnacentral:lncRNA from 1 species
GUAAAACCUGAGCAACCUAGACAUAUCCAUCACAAAGUGAUAAACACUUAGACCUUUGAUUCGUAUUCACAAUUUUCCCAAUGAUGGAUGAUAAGGAUUCUGCUUGCUUUGUGAGCGAUGUUUGAUCAGCGAAGGCCUGUCUGUGCAAAAAACAUUAUGAUGAUCCAUGGAUACAAAAACACAUGCCCAGAAAAUUCAAUUUCAGCUGCCAGCAAUGCUACGUUGCCUCAGAAACUGACCUCUGCACCGUGUCCAGGAAUACACACCACUCUGGCCGUAGGAGGUGUGAGCUGCAGAAAGCAGGAACAUGUACAACAACACAAAAGACACUACAGAAGGGGUUCGUAGAAAAUCCAGAAGACACCUGCCCUUCACGGCUCUAGAGGAUGCUUCCACUAUAAAGUCACUGCGCACUACCUCCCUGCAAUGACUGGUGGUCUUAAAAAGAACUUCUUUCCACACGCUGUUACCACAAUAAA